CGGCGGACGGGUGAGUAAUGCCUAGGAAUCUGCCUGGUAGUGGGGGAUAACGUCCGGAAACGGGCGCUAAUACCGCAUACGUCCUGAGGGAGAAAGCGGGGGAUCUUCGGACCUCACGCUAUCAGAUGAGCCUAGGUCGGAUUAGCUAGUUGGUGGGGUAAAGGCCUACCAAGGCGACGAUCCGUAACUGGUCUGAGAGGAUGAUCAGUCACACUGGAACUGAGACACGGUCCAG
rnacentral:rRNA from 1 species